rnacentral:rRNA from 1 species
CCUACGGGGGGCUGCAGUGGGGAAUAUUGGACAAUGGGCGAAAGCCUGAUCCAGCCAUGCCGCGUGUGUGAAGAAGGCCUUCGGGUUGUAAAGCACUUUCAGUGGGGAAGAAAGCCUUGGGGCUAAUACCCUCGAGGAAGGACAUCACCCACAGAAGAAGCACCGGCUAACUCCGUGCCAGCAGCCGCGGUAAUACGGAGGGUGCGAGCGUUAAUCGGAAUUACUGGGCGUAAAGCGCGCGUAGGCGGUCUGAUAAGCCGGUUGUGAAAGCCCCGGGCUCAACCUGGGAACGGCAUCCGGAACUGUCAUGCUAGAGUGCAGGAGAGGAAGGUAGAAUUCCCGGUGUAGCAGUGAAAUGCGUAGAGAUCGGGAGGAAUACCAGUGGCGAAGGCGGCCUUCUGGACUGACACUGACGCUGAGGUGCGAAAGCGUGGGUAGCAAACAGGAUUAGAUACCCUAGUAGUC